GACGAACGCUGGCGGCGUGCUUAACACAUGCAAGUCGAACGGAAAGGCCCUGCUUUUGUGGGGUGCUCGAGUGGCGAACGGGUGAGUAACACGUGAGUAACCUGCCCUUGACUUUGGGAUAACUUCAGGAAACUGGGGCUAAUACCGGAUAGGCGCUCCUGCUGCCUGGUGGGGGUUGGAAAGUUUCGGCGGUUGGGGAUGGACUCGCGGCUUAUCAGCUUGUUGGUGGGGUAGUGGCUUACCAAGGCUUUGACGGGUAGCCGGCCUGAGAGGGUGACCGGCCACAUUGGGACUGAGAUACGGCCCAGACUCCUACGGGAGGCAGCAGUGGGGAAUAUUGCACAAUGGGCGGAAGCCUGAUGCAGCAACGCCGCGUGCGGGAUGACGGCCUUCGGGUUGGAAACCGCUUUCGCCUGUGACGAAGCGUGAGUGACGGUAAUGGGUAAAGAAGCACCGGCUAACUACGUG
rnacentral:rRNA from 1 species